UUUGUAUCUGAAGGACCUCUUUCGCGUCAGUGUUGACUGUUUGGAGGCGGACUACGAACUGAGACUUAUCUGCCUAGAUUUUCUUUCUAUCGUUGCCCCGUUAAUUUUUUACUUGCGUGUUUGGAAUGAUUUUCUUUUUGCUGUUUGGAGGUGGACUGCGAUCACUUUUGAUUAAAGAUCGAGAGUUAGAGUCUAAGGGCAUCUUUAUGGAUCGGGCUGAUGUCUUCCUUGGUAGUCUAGA
rnacentral:lncRNA from 1 species